AUCGCCGCCUCAGGCGUGCGCGGACGGUGUGCGGCGCACACAACCAAGCUUAGGAGCCGACUGUUAAGAUGCCCCAGUGACACGGACAAGUUUCUCCUCUGCAACCCAAUGAGAGCUGCUGACCACGAGAGCAUCGCGGGACCGCCAAAGGAUUCUGGAAAAUGUGGUCCCGGGUGGCCAGUGUGCGCUGACCUUCACCUGAAGGUACGGCUUGAAGGAAACUUCUGGAGGGUGGGGUGGUGUUGAAGAGAAGGCACAAUUGUCACCAUUUUGUUCAACAUGGGCGUUUUCUUUGUGCAUUGAUUUGCAUUUUUAAAGGAACUCCUCCUCAAAACAGAAGAAGCCUAUAGGAUUUUAACCUGGAAACUACUCAGGGAAUCUGGAAUAUUCCUUCCAGGGAUAUCUGCAGCUGAAACCUGGCAGUAAUUUAAACAAAACCAGACAACUCUUGGGGUAUGGUUGGAGCCUGAGGUCUACAGAUGGGUCAUUUUAUAUGCUGAGGUCUGAACAAGAUGAUUUUAACCCCUUAAAAUGAUGGAAACAAAAUAAAACAGAAUAAAUUAGAAGACAACACAGGUGAGUAGUUUAAAG
rnacentral:lncRNA from 1 species